GACGAACGCUGGCGGCGUGCCUAAUACAUGCAAGUUGAGCGCUGAAGGUUGGUACUUGUACCAACUGGAUGAGCAGCGAACGGGUGAGUAACGCGUGGGGAAUCUGCCUUUGAGCGGGGGACAACAUUUGGAAACGAAUGCUAAUACCGCAUAAAAACUUUAAACACAAGUUUUAAGUUUGAAAGAUGCAAUUGCAUCACUCAAAGAUGAUCCCGCGUUGUAUUAGCUAGUUGGUGAGGUAAAGGCUCACCAAGGCGAUGAUACAUAGCCGACCUGAGAGGGUAAUCGGCCACAUUGGGACGGAGACACGGCCCAAACUCCUACGGGAGGCAGCAGUAGGGAAUCUUCGGCAAUGGACGAAAGUCUGACCGAGCAACGCCGCGUGGGUGAAGAAGGUUUUCGGAUCGUAAAACUCUGUUGGUAGAGAAGAACGUUGGUGAGAGUGGAAAGCUCAUCAAGUGACGGUAACUACCCAGAAAGGGACGGCUAACUACGUG
rnacentral:rRNA from 1 species